AUGGGGGUGAUGUGCAGGUAACAACAGCUGUUCAAAAGACAAUGGAGGAUGCAGUCAUAUCUGUUUACCAAAUCCCGAGGGCAGGACUUGCCGGUGUCCCCGUGGGUACUGCUUGGUUGAGGGCCACACCUGUGUGGAAGCUGUCCAGUGCCCUCCGACGUUGCAAUGCUGUAAGGAUGGUCAAAGGUGCAUUUCCAAGGAGCAAAUUUGCAAUGGUCAUGUUGACUGUCUGGAUGGCUCUGAUGAAGUGGACUGUUUAAAUCCAGGUGAACUCCAUUCCACAUCAAUACUUAAGAAGCCAGAAGCUUGGAAAAGGUUGAUACCAGAAGCUUUCGAACUUUCCCAGGCUACUGAGUCUACCACGGAUGUAUAUCUGGGACGAGAAGAAAUGAGACAUCCUGUCAAGACAACACUAACCACUCAAAUGCCUGCAUCAGAGAGCAAGGUUCCAGAAACCAAGGGAAGAGCGGAAACUGUUCAAUCCAAGGACUUACGGACAGCGACACACAGGCCCUGUAGCCAGGACUUUUGCAACGGGAAUGGGAUCUGCAUAAUGGAAGGAAAGUUGAGAAAAUGCCGCUGCCUGGUCGAGUAUGGUGGAGAGUUCUGCCAAGAAGCAGCCCGUGGCCCUGCCACUGGCUACAUAGCCCUGGGCGGAGUCAUUGCUGUUUCAGCUACCCUGGCAGUUUUGGGGCUGUUCCUACAUUCCAGAAGAGAACGUAAAUUCAAGAGAACAUCAUCAAAAAAUUUGGACUAUGAUAAAGAAAAUAACCAAGAGGAAGAAAAUCUAAUGAAGAGUGAGACUUUUGUCAACGAAGUCUAUGAUGAGCAGGAAUCCUUAACCUCCUUACAAACUGAAUGACCUCAUUAAAAAAAAAUGAGCUGAAACAUUUAAAUAAAUGCUGCUUGUCUACUCCCUUGUAUGAUGUCUUAACUUUCCU
rnacentral:lncRNA from 1 species